GGGCGGCUCCAGCCCCGCCCUCUGACAGCCCUGGCGGCCAUUUGGCAGUUCUGCCUGCCCCCCGCGCCACAAGCUGGCUGAGGCCUUGGGCUGUCCCCAGCACGGCUGCCAGUGGUGUCGGGCGGCAUCUAGAGCCAAGAGGCCUUUCUUCUUUUUUGUGCUGAAGGAAACUUUGUGCUGUCUGGAGCGAGCAGUGCCACUUUUCUCCGCAUUCCGGGGCUGUCAUGGGUGUCACAGUACCUGGGCUGGGCACCUUCUUUGCUGUUAAACAGGAGCAGCCCAUGGCAGGCGUUAAGCUCCUUGACGCAAAGAAGCCCGUCUUCCAGGUUUCGGAGCACUUUGCCAAUGUUCAUGGGCUCCCUUACAAGAAAGAAACUUUUCCUGGAACCACAGGGUUUUCCCCAGGAAGAAGGCAGCUCAUCCAGCAGCGUGGACAGGGAGGCUGCAGAUGAGGGGUACAGAGCGCCUCCCCAGACACCUGGAGGUCAAGAGUCAAAGCCAUCAGCAUGUCCCAGCCCCAGUGAGCACAGCACUGCGGUGCUGGUUGAGAGCCAGUGACGUGCACGACAUGCCUCCAGUGUCUCUGAGGAAGAGCUGGAUGAAACAGCCGAGAUUGUUGUUGCUGCAGUGCUACUCCAUUCUGUAGCCAUCAUGCAGGGAGCCACGAGCAAGGAUCCAACUGCUCCCUUGGCCACAUGGGCCAGGGUGCCUCCUCCCAUCCCAGAGCCUGUUGACUGUACAGCAGUUGACGAAACCGGAGCAGUGGCUUCUCCCUUGGCUACGGUUCCUGGGCACCAGGUUGCUGCCGAGCAGAGAGGCCAAGCGCAGUCUUCCUGCACCAAAGAUACACCAGCAGACAAGCCAGCAACGUGCCAGAAACAAGAGCCGCCCCAGGGACUUUUGGAU